rnacentral:rRNA from 1 species
UACGGAGGGUGCAAGCGUUAAUCGGAAUUACUGGGCGUAAAGAGUGCGUAGGUGGUUAAAUAAGUUAUCUGUGAAAUCCCUGGGCUUAACCUGGGCAGGUCAGAUGAUACUGUUUGACUCGAGUAUGGGAGAGGGUAGUGGAAUUUCCGGUGUAGCGGUGAAAUGCGUAGAGAUCGGAAGGAACACCAGUGGCGAAGGCGGCUACCUGGCCUAAUACUGACACUGAGGCACGAAAGCGUGGGGAGCAAACAGG